rnacentral:rRNA from 1 species
AUGAACGCUGGCGGCGUGCCUAAUACAUGCAAGUCGAGCGAACAGACGAGGAGCUUGCUCCUCUGACGUUAGCGGCGGACGGGUGAGUAACACGUGGAUAACCUACCUAUAAGACUGGGAUAACUUCGGGAAACCGGAGCUAAUACCGGAUAAUAUAUUGAACCGCAUGGUUCAAUAGUGAAAGUCGGUUUUGCUGUCACUUAUAGAUGGAUCCGCGCCGCAUUAGCUAGUUGGUAAGGUAACGGCUUACCAAGGCAACGAUGCGUAGCCGACCUGAGAGGGUGAUCGGCCACACUGGAACUGAGACACGGUCCAGACUCCUACGGGAGGCAGCAGUAGGGAAUCUUCCGCAAUGGGCGAAAGCUUGACGGAGCAACGCCGCGUGAGUGAUGAAGGUCUUCGGAUCGUAAAACUCUGUUAUUAGGGAAGAACAAAUGUGUAAGUAACUAUGCACGUCUUGACGGUACCUAAUCAGAAAGCCACGGCUAACUACGUG